rnacentral:misc_RNA from 1 species
AUGUGAAUGUACUCUUUAUGAGGCUUUGCGCUGCCCUUGUGGCAGCUAGCCGAAGGUUUCGCAAGAAGCCGAUGUCAAUUUGAAUCCUUUUUAAAAUACGACUGAUCAAAACUGCAGAUAGAAAUAUCUGCAUGCAAUUGAAAUACAACUUUCAACAGUGGAUGUCUAGGCUCGCACACCGAUGAAGAACGCUGCGAACUGCGAUACGUAAUGCGAAUUGCAGAAUUCAGUGAGUCAUCAAAAUUUUGAACGCAUAUUGCACUUCCGGGUUAGUCCUGGGAGUAUGUUUGUAUCAGUGUCCGUGAACACAAACUUGUUUCAUUUCUUGAUUGGGAUGGAGCAGACUGUGAAGGUCUUGUAAUUACAAGUCCUUUUAAACGACGGUACCUAUGCGUCCUAGUGAGAUGUAUUAUUUAAAGGUAUGCCUGCGCUCCUUUCGAAAGUCUUGUGUGGCGGCACACAGCACUCAAAGAGAGAGCAAAUCGCGGUAGUUUUGCUUGUACUUCGGUACGAGUGGACACAUAUUGCUUUUUGUGAUUUCUGCGAGUCUGUUGUCAAAGUACAAGGCACGUAAGGAGAGUUGGUAUGCUGGUGCAUUUCUUGGCGUAUGGAGGCAAAUUGGGAAUUCAAUCCA